rfam:Gossypium hirsutum cultivar TM-1 chromosome 25, whole genome shotgun sequence
AUUCUAUGAUGAGGGCAUUUUCAUAAUGAUUCCAUGAAUCGUUCCCAUGCCUCAUAUAACAAUUCAUCUUUAUACUGUUGAAAUGUAGUAAUUUCAUUUUUGAGCUU